rnacentral:rRNA from 1 species
UACGUAGGGUGCGAGCGUUGUCCGGAAUUAUUGGGCGUAAAGAGCUUGUAGGCGGUUUGUCGCGUCUGCUGUGAAAAUCCGGGGCUCAACCCCGGACUUGCAGUGGGUACGGGCAGGCUAGAGUGUGGUAGGGGAGACUGGAAUUCCUGGUGUAGCGGUGGAAUGCGCAGAUAUCAGGAGGAACACCGAUGGCGAAGGCAGCACUCUGGGCCGGCACUGACGCUGAGGAGCGAAAGCGUGGGGAGCGAACAGG